rnacentral:rRNA from 1 species
GACGAACGCUGGCGGCGUGCUUAACACAUGCAAGUCGAGCGGAGCGGAGAACGGGUGAGUAACGCGUGAGUAACUGCCCCCCUCUCUGUGAUAACAGUUGGAAACGGCAGCUAAUACCGGAUAGUGGGGGAUGACUCGCGUCCGAUCAGCUUGUUGGUGGGGUAGUGGCAUACCAAGUCGACGACGGGUAGCCGGCCUGAGAGGGCGGCAGGGCACAUGGGGCGGAGAUACGGGGCAAUCUGCUACGGGAGGCAGCAGUGGGGAAUAUUGCGCAAUGGGGGAAAGCCUGAUGCAGCAACGCCGCGGGCGGGAUGACGGUCUUCGGGUUGUAAACCGCUUUCAGUCAUGACGCGGUAGUGGCAGAAGAAGCACCGGCUAACUACGUGCCAGCAGCCGCGGUAAUUC